rnacentral:rRNA from 1 species
UACGUAGGGGGCUAGCGUUGUCCGGAAUCAUUGGGCGUAAAGAGCGCGUAGGCGGCCAGAUAAGUCCGGUGUGAAAGUCAAAGGCUCAACCUUUGAAUGCCGCUGGAAACUGUCUGGCUAGAGUCCGGGAGGGGCGAGUGGAAUUCCUGGUGUAGCGGUGAAAUGCGCAGAUAUCAGGAGGAACACCGGCGGCGAAGGCGGCCCUCUGGAUCGUUGCUGACGCUGAGGCGCGAAAGCGUGGGGAGCAAACAGG